rnacentral:tRNA from 1 species
GGUCGCGUAGCUCAGCUGGAUAGAGCAACUGCCUUCUAAGCAGUAGGUCGGAGGUUCGAGUCCUCCCGCGAUCGCCA